rnacentral:rRNA from 1 species
GAUGAACGCUGGCGGCGUGCCUAAUACAUGCAAGUCGAGCGAACGGACGAGAAGCUUGCUUUUCUGAUGUUAGCGGCGGACGGGUGAGUAACACGUGGAUAACCUACCUAUAAGACUGGGAUAACUUCGGGAAACCGGAGCUAAUACCGGAUAAUAUUUUGAACCGCAUGGUUCAAAAGUGAAAGACGGUCUUGCUGUCACUUAUAGAUGGAUCCGCGCUGCAUUAGCUAGUUGGUAAGGUAACGGCUUACCAAGGCAACGAUGCAUAGCCGACCUGAGAGGGUGAUCGGCCACACUGGAACUGAGACACGGUCCAGACUCCUACGGGAGGCAGCAGUAGGGAAUCUUCCGCAAUGGGCGAAAGCCUGACGGAGCAACGCCGCGUGAGUGAUGAAGGUCUUCGGAUCGUAAAACUCUGUUAUUAGGGAAGAACAUGUGUGUAAGUAACUGUGCACAUCUUGACGGUACCUAAUCAGAAAGCCACGGCUAACUACGUG